rnacentral:rRNA from 1 species
UACAAGGGGGGCUAGUGUUGUUCGGAAUCACUGGGCGUAAAGGGAGCGUAGGCGGGAGCCUAAGUUGGGUGUUUAAUUCCGGGGCCCAACCCCGGGCGUGCACUCAAAACUGGGUUUCUUGAAUAGGGGAGAGGUCGGUGGAAUUGGAGGUGUAGCGGUGGAAUGCGUAGAGAUCUCCAAGAACACCCGUUGCGAAGGCGGCCGACUGGACCCAUAUUGACGCUGAGGCUCGAAAGCAUGGGGAGCAAACAGG